rnacentral:rRNA from 1 species
UGGGGAAUUUUGGACAAUGGGCGAAAGCCUGAUCCAGCAAUGCCGCGUGUGUGAAGAAGGCCUUCGGGUUGUAAAGCACUUUUGUCCGGAAAGAAAUCCUUGGCUCUAAUACAGUCGGGGGAUGACGGUACCGGAAGAAUAAGCACCGGCUAACUACGUGCCAGCAGCCGCGGUAAUACGUAGGGUGCAAGCGUUAAUCGGAAUUACUGGGCGUAAAGCGUGCGCAGGCGGUUUGCUAAGACCGAUGUGAAAUCCCCGGGCUCAACCUGGGAACUGCAUUGGUGACUGGCAGGCUAGAGUAUGGCAGAGGGGGGUAGAAUUCCACGUGUAGCAGUGAAAUGCGUAGAGAUGUGGAGGAAUACCGAUGGCGAAGGCAGCCCCCUGGGCCAAUACUGACGCUCAUGCACGAAAGCGUGGGGAGCAAACAGGAUUAGAUACCCUGGUAGUCCACGCCCUAAACGAUGUCAACUAGUUGUUGGGGAUUCAUUCCUUAGUAACGUAGCUAACGCGUGAAGUUGACCGCCUGGGGAGUACGGUCGCAAGAUUAAACUUAAAUGAAUUGACGGGGUCAUAGCUGUUUCCU